rnacentral:lncRNA from 1 species
AUAAUAACAACAAAAACUAUUACGACUAACUUAUUCUCUGGAAAAUCUUAUUACAAUAAUGUUAUUCAUAAAAGAGAUGUGCCUGAUCAACAGUAAUGAGUUAUGUUAAGAAAUAUUCGAUUGCCUAGAAAAGAGAGAGAGAAAUGGUAUAGACAGUAAAUAAAACAAUAAGAGUAAUAAUAGUACCUUAGAAUUCCCCAAUGGUGAAGAUAAGUUUCAAAGAGAGGGAUGGGAUUGUCUUCUUCAUCUACGACUUCAACAUCAAAACUUUUGAUAGCAAUAUGGCCUUCGGGAAAGUUGGUAUUAUAGAAGAAUCUCUCCACUACAUGGCCAGGUUUUAAAGUGAAGAAUGGAGUCAUAUAAGUCUUUGUUUUUAUGACUUGAUGAUCGUUCUUGUUGUUUAUUACAACCCCUUCCAAAUAUGGUAUCAUAAUUCCUAUGGAAGAGAGCAGUAGCAACCACCGAAAACAUUGGUGAUGCUUCAACAUUUUUCUUUGUUUGAUUCUGCAAAAAAAAUAUGAACCGUAAUACGGUUUAAAUAAUCGAAAAAAAGAUGAACAAAUAUUCAGUGACGUGACAGAUUUUGAGUGAGAGUAUAGUUGGUAUUACUGUAUAAUAUAAAUGGAAUGAUGAUAUAAUGAUAAUAUUGGGAGUAGGGAAUAAAGGAAGUGGGUGGAAAAGAGAGAUUUUCUUAACAUAAGAAUAUGGUUAUAAUUUCUCUGCCUAUUUUUAUAAUCUAAAUUGUCACCUAAUUCUUUUUAAAUUAAUUAAGGGACAAAACUCACCUAAUUUAAUUUAAAGUACUAAAUUAAAAUAUUUUCUAGAUUUGGAUGCUAGCUUUUGAAAUAUAAGAGAUUUUUAGCAUCUCAUCAAAAUCACUAAUUACACACUUUUAAUGACUAACAAAAAAAGCGCGUAAAGUUUUGACUUCUAGGGUACGAUCUUGAAAAUUUUGAAAGUAAAAAAACCAUGAUCUUAUUUUGUUGAGGCAAGAUUUACAACACCCAAAAAUCCUUUUCAUGUAAUUAGAUCAAAGCAUACCGAAUCACAACAUUAUUAUACUAAUAUACUUUGAAUUAGGUAAAAACGAAUUAGGUAAAAAGGUCUAAUUCUUAAGACACCAUUAAAAAGUGAAUUUUGAAUGAGUUGAUGCUCCAAAUCACUCACUCUCAAACUUUCUUCGAUCAUCUCAUGCUCACACUCUAAAAACCAAAUGAUCGAAACAAUAUAUAUAGUUUUCAAACUUUUUAAAACAACAAUUUAACUAAUUCUUAAAACAACAGUGAAUUGUGAAUAGUAAGCUCUACGGUCGACUAAAUGUGAACGUUAAUAAAAAGAGUAUUCUCAACAGUGAAAAAAAAGACUUCUUAGUAUCAACAAAUGGUAUAUAUGUAUAUGCUUCAUUAAUAUUGGAUAAUCAUGCCUCUAACCUAUAACACAUAUGUAACUCAAAAUCAUGUCUACAUCAAUAUUAACAUAUUGAUGGAUAGAAGAUGAAUUAAGAAAUUACUAACCGUAGAGAUUCUUGAAGAAGAGAGGAAGAAGAAGAAGAAGAACAAGACGGAUGCAAAUAAUAGAAAGAGCUUUUGAUUUGAUUGGCAAUGGCGGAUUUGAUUAUUUCUCAAUCUAUAUUUUAUCGAUGGCUUAGCUGGAAGACCAUUUAACAUAAACUUAGCUUUUUUAAAAGAUCCAAAAUAUAAUUAUUAUUAAUGCUAAAAAUAAUGUCAUAAUAAAGACAUUAAACAACAAGAUUAUAUUAUUCUAAUAAUUAAUUAUAUGUUAAAAAAGUUCUCAAACAUUUUGGUGUUCACUUUGUUGUUUGGUUCUUAUCAUGACUUCUUCUCUUUUUUUUUCUUCUUUUUGGUAUUAUCUAAAAAUAGUUCUAAAAUAAAUAGAAAAAUUUCCAACUUAAUAAUAAAUUAAAAUUAUAAAGUUUGUAGGGAAGACAAAAAAACAAAAACAGCUCAAAACACCAUUUUUUUUAAAUAAAGAAUGCAAUUAAUUAAAAAAAAUCAAAACAAAGAAACAAAAAUGCAGAAAUAUAUAUAAAAUUGAAAAAAAGUAAAACAUAAAUAAUUAAAUUGUUAACUUUUAGUGUAAAAAGUUAAGGAGAAGAUAUAUAUUUCUUUUGGUAAAGGAUCCAGAAAGAUUCACCUAAUUCAUAUACUAAAAGGAUUCAUUAUUUUUAAUAGAUGAUAUAUAUAUAUAUAUUGCACAAGUUGCAUUGCAUUUUUGUAUAUAUAAAUAUUGGUGGACCAAAUCAAAUAGAUUCAAUUAAUUCGGUUCGAUAUUUGAAUAAGUUUUAUCAUAAAAUGAAACUAUCUUCAGCUUAGUUCUACUUUUUAUUUAUACAAAUUAAAUUUUUAAGAAACAAAACUAGAGAACGUGAGUAUGUCUAUUGCUUAUACCUCAUCUGAUCCAUUCACCCUGUAGUUAAUAUCUACAAGUUUUGGUUGUCUUUUGGGAUCAACGCCCUUUUGUAGCCAAAGUGUAAAAAAAUAUAUAUCGAAUGAGUAUAGAGAAGUCGAGUAUGGUAGGAACUACUGAUAUUCAAAGUUUCUCUACAAAAAUUUAUUUUAUUAUUUCUUUUUAGGUUAUUUGUUAAAUUGUUUUCUUUUUUAAAGUUUGGUUGUUUUAGUACAACUCUCUUUUCUAUGUAUCUUAACUUAAUGCAACUGACAUACAUUUUUACUAUGAGAAGAUAUUCAAACACACUGUACAAUCUUAUAUUAUAAUUACAUUAUACAAACACACAAACUUUUAUACCAUAGUGUCAAACUAUAGGUAUAAAUUAGUAGAUGACAGAGUUCAUUAUCGUCAUCUUCUUCAUAGACCCACCAAUUGUAAUAUAAUAAUGUAAAGAUUUUACAUGGUGAUCUUCUUUUUACGAUCAUCAGCAAGUUGUUUGAGUGGUUCCAUUUGAAUGAUUGAGUUUGGUAACUUUUGUGCAACCAUAAUAUGAAAGAAACCCAUAACUCCAAUGUGAGUUUAAGAAGGAUGAUAUUUGGAUAUCAUAGUUAACAUUUCUUUAUUGUUGAUUUUGACAGAGCCUGGCUUUGGAUAACAAGUUGACAUCCCAACCACAUACCCCUUUUCAUUCCCUAUUUCACUUCCAUUUCCAUAUAUGGGAGAUGAAGAACAUAGAUCUCUUCCAUCCUAAUAAAUGUAUAAAUACAUAUAAUUCACAAACUUAAUAAAACUUCUGUCACGUAUAAUUCGGUUAAAUUAUAAAUUUAGUUUUUUACCUUUAGAUUGAAAACUUCAAAAAGUAUCUAUAAUUAAACAAACACUGUGCAGUAAACAUUUUGUUUCUGGUUUUUUGUUUUUAAAAAUUAAACUUAUUUUCUCUAAUUUUUUAAAUUAGUGUAUUUUUUAAGUACAUAUCUAAAGGUUAUUUGACACAAAAUUGAAAUAUAAAAUUAAAAGAUCAACUACGUAUAUUUUUUACACACAUCAAAGUUUAAAAAAUGUGUAAUUUAAUUUUAUAAGGAAUGAAGAGACCAAUUAUUAAGAUAAACAAGAAAAAAAUACCUGUCCAUAAAGCACUGAACCAAGACCACCAACAUGGAGAUGGGCCAUUCCAUAUAUGAUAUAGCCACUACUUGGAGACAAUAACCUCACCAUUUUUGUAGCAUUACAUUCAUCACCAACCUUGUUUGUGGAGCAAGUCCCUCCUACAUUAUACUCCACCUAUACACAAACCAUCAAAUAUUUAAUAUACAUGAUGUGUAUAUAUAUAGCAAAUGGAUAAAUAGUUGACUUACAAGACAAUUAUGUUGUUGAGGAGCUCCUGUUGAGUCCAUCAAUGGCUUCCAAGUGUCUGUGAUAUCAAAAAUAUAAACCUUAAGAGGAAUAACAAGAUCAUCAUCCCAAUCCACCCACUUGACUGUAUAUCUAACAUACAAAUUCCUUUGUUGAUCAUCUCCUAACUUAUUUUCAUACCCUUUUUUCACUUUACAUUGAGUUUGAUCAUAACAACAUCUUAAACCUCCAAUAUAAUCAUCUUCCAAAGCCAUUCCCAACCCAUCUUUUGUAACAUUAUACAAAUGACGUUUACAUUCAAUACAUCCAAUUCUAUCUUCAACGCCUCUUGUAUCAAUGGCAUGAAUAUUAAGAACCCAUUUCUCUUCGUACCCUAAAGGGACUUCCUUUUCAUUACCAACUUCUAUUCCAUAUGGGUGUGGAAGAAAUGAGGAUGUUUUUCUUGACUCUGCACCUGUCCCAAAGAAAUGUGGAAGUGCAUGUUUUUGACAUACUCCAUUGUUUCCUGCUACUAUGAAAUUUGGUUCGUGGAGUUGAGUGAAGGAAGUGUUGAUGUUUGGAUCUUUUGAGUCUUUGUGUUGGUAAUACCUGUUGUUACGUUGCACAAAAAUAUGUUAUUUUAGAUCAGGAAUAUAUAAUAUAAAUGUUUCUCACUCUACUAAUAUCGAUCACUACUAAAUAUAGUCAACCUAAACUAUUACAACUAACUUAUUCUCCUGAUAAUCGUCAGUAAAAUACUGUUAUUCAUAAAGAAGAUGUGUCUGAUAUCAACUGUAAUGAGUUAUGUUAAGAAAUGUUGGAUUGCCUAGAGAAGCGAGAGAGAGAUAAAUUGUAACGAUAAUAGUACCUUGUUAUUCCCCAAUGGUGAAGAUAAGUUUCAAAGAGAGGGAUGGGAUUGUCUUCUUCAUCUACGACUUCAAUAUCAAAACUUUUGAUAGCAAUAUGACCUUUGGGAAAGUUGGUAUUAUAGAAGAAUCUCUCCACUACAUGGCCAGGUUUUAAAGUGAAGAAUGGAGUCAUAUAAGUCUUUGUUCUUAUGACUUGCUGAUCGUUCUUCUUGUUUAUUACAACCCCUUCCAAAUAUGGUAUCAUAAUUCCUAUGGAAGAGAGUAGUAGCAACCACCAAAAACAAUGGUGAUGCUUCAACAUUUUGCUAUUUGUUUUUGAUUAUGUGAAAAAGAAUUGAAUCGUAAUACGGUUUAAAUAACCAAAGAAGAAAAAGGGACAAAUAUUUAGUGAUGUGACAGAUUUUGAAUGAGAUUAUUUGAAUUUGCUAUAAAUGGAAUGAUGAUAAUGACAAUUGUGGGGGUAGGAAAUAAAGGAAGUGGGUGUGGAAAAGAUAGAAUUUUUUCUUUAAAAAAAUAAGAAUAUGAUUAUUCGAUACAAAUUUUGAAUUGAAUGACAAAAACAUUUAGAAAAAACUGGCUCAUGGCACGUAAUUUUUUUGUAUAUGACACAAAAUUAAACGGUAAUCAUAGGGCUAUCGAAAGACCAUCCGACAGUAAUUAUCGUGUUGUCGACUUUUAAAUUUGUUACUUUGUAAUUUAGAAGAUGUAGUGACAUUGACCAUAUCAUCAUUUUUUUUUUCUAUUUGCGCUAGAAACCCUAUUUUUUAUUUUAAUUCUAAAAAUGGAAACCCUCUAUCUACUUUUAUAAUCUAAACUGUCACUUAAUUCUUUUUAAAUUAAUUAAGGCACAUAAAAAGAAAUAGACAUUUUCAACAAUAGUAGAGUAAAUUAAAAUAUUUACUAAAAUUUUGGAUUCUAUCGAUUAUAUAGAAAUUGAUAACUUCUAUAACGGUAGAGAUAUCAAUGUUUAUUAUUUAUAGAAUCUUAAAUUUUACGAGUUAUUAUUUUUUUUAUAAUUUUUGAUAAUUUUGAAAUCUAGAGAUUACGUUUGAAAUGAUGUAGCUAUUAAAAAGGUUACUUUUCUAUUAGAAUAUAGUAAAACAUCACUAUCCAAUCGUGAUAGACAAAAUUGAUGAACUCGGUUGGAUGCUUCGUGUCCCAAAAUUGAACUUCAUAGACGAAAAAGAUGAAUAUUUAAUUAAAAAAGAAAAUUAAGAAACAAAUAACAUUUUAAAAAAACAAAACACAAAAUGAAUAAAAGAAGAUAAAUUAAAACUCAUACCUCAUAUAAGAUAGAUGAACGAAUGUUGAUUUUGAGAUGAAAUUCUAUACUAUAAUUAAAAUAGUGGAGACAAAGCAGGGGUGGACAAGUGUGUGCAAGGGGAGGCCUUCGAAUUGGUGAAGAUAAGGAGCAAUUUUGUUGAGAGUGACGGGGAGGGCCAUGGAGACUCAUUGUCAUGGGGUGGAGAGUGAUAGAUUUUUUUUUGCUUUGGGGGCCAUUGAACUUGUGGUCAUGGAGAGGAGAGUGAUAGAUUUCUUUUAGUUUGAGGAUGAGAUUCAACCCUUUUUUGGUCACCUAUAAUGAUAAUUCGAGUAAAAGUAUAUUUUUGGUUUCGAUUAAACACUCUAGUCCUUCGAGUUUGUAGAAUAGUUCUAAAUGGUCUUUCAGUUCAUUUUUGUUAGUCGUUCUCUAACACAAAAUUGUGUUUACGGAAUUUAAUUUUAUUAGGUGGUUUUUUAUUUUUCUAUUUCAUUUUUUUUGUUGGGUAUGUUUUUCCUUUCACUCUCCCUUUUUCCUACCUUUUAUCUCUUUUCCAUUUCUCUCGUAGUCUCCCUUUCUCCUUUCUCGCAACUCACUUUGAACUGUCCCGAGGACGUGACAUCUCCAUCAAUAAGAAUUUUGUUCAAGCACUCAUUUACGAGGUGGGAAAUAGAUUUAAAUAUGGACAAAGACAUUCCUUUUAGCUUCUCCAUCCUUACUUUUGGUCUCCCUGGUCUUUGGAAAAAACGUUAAGAAAUUGUAUGAAAAGACGGAGUGGACCAAUUUUAAGCUUUCUUUACAUUUUAGAUAGGGAAAUUGCAAUUGAUGACUAUUUUAGCAAUAAUAAUUAAGGAUAUAGCAACAUUUUAAAAAAAUUGCAAAUAUAGCAAAACUAUCACUGAUAGACUUGUAUCACUGAUAGACUUCAUAUGAUAUAUUAGUGAUUGACCAAUAUUUGCAACAUGGUCUAUCAGUGAUAGACUUAUAUCAUUGAUAGAAUUUGACAAAUUUUGCUAUAUUUGCAAAAUUUUUAAAAUUGUGUUAUAUACUUAAUUAAUUUGAAUUUAAUUGCUAAAUUUGCAACUAUCUCGUUAAGAUUUUUUUAUAAAAAGACGCAGGUGAGGUGAAUUUUCGGAAAGUUUUUCACUAUGGAACUUUUCUUGAUGUUUAAAAAACGUUAAGAGCUAUGUACUUUUACUUGACGUUUUUAAAAUGUCAAGUAAUAUCCCUUCAAAUGAUUGUUUACUUAUUAUACGAUCUGCUAACUUUCCAUACAAUAAUUUAAUUUCAUACUCUACAAAAUACUCGUAAACUUACUUUUAUUAAAUAAAUAUUCAAUCUCCAACCUGAUAUCCAACCUAACAAAAAAAAAAAAACCAAAAUUUUCAACUCAACUCAUAUUUUUAAACUAACACAACCUAACUUAUAUAAUAUGAGAUGGGAAGGUUGUCGGGUUAUUCGAGUUGGACCUAAACUCGUACUUGCAACUCUUUUGUUCACCCUGUCUCCAUCUCUCUCGACUUCUCUUUCAAUCUUCGUCUUCGACUCUCUCGCCGAAUUGCAGGCGCAAGAAUAAACCCUUCUCCGAAUUGGGUUUGUAUAGCCCAUGAGGGAAGGGUUUCACGUUUGUUUCUCACCCUUUGCUUUGUUCCUCAUGACGAGGUUUUGUUUUACAACAUUCCUCAUAUGAAAAUUCCAUUCACCACUGGCUCAUGGCUUCUUCUUCAAUCUUCUUCUCCUCGUUCUGUUCUGUUCUUAUUCUUCUCCUUUGUGGCUUUCAUUCUCCAGGGUUUCAACCGAUUUAGUUAGUAAUAUUAUCCUUUUUAAUUAUAUUUUUCUGUUUUGAUUAUGAUGAUCAUUUUGACCUCAAAUAUUUUUGUAGGGUUUUUAAUUGUAGCUUUUGGUGAAGUAGGAUUGAAGUUUUUAACCAUGAUGACAAUGGCCAUUGAAGAUGAAGAUUCUAUGGCUCUUUUACCAUUUGGAGGAUCAGGCUUUAGUGUUGGAAGCUUCAUGAUCCGACUUCCUCAAUGCAGUGGCCCUCAUCGGCCAAGUAACUCUUUCCAACUUCAUCUUAGAUUAUAACAUUUGAUACUAAAAUGUCAAUAUGGGCGUUUCUCUAUUAGGGAAUAGUAACGUUUUAUGCAUAUCUCCUGGCAUCAAGAUCAGUGUUUCUUCAUUAACUAAAUUAUAAGAACUACAGCUACAAUACAAGGACAAAAAAUAUUACUAAUUCUUAGGUUACAAAUAUAUUUAAUAUUUUGCAAUAUACUAUGUAUAUAUGUAUAUAGAUUCAUUUGUUUCAAUUUUCUAAUAUAUAUGUAAAAGACUUAUCAAAUAUUUAUAUUAUUUGACACAAACAUCAAAGUUUUGAUUUGUUACAUUUGUUACCGUUUGUAUGCAAUGCAUACAAUUUGAAAUAGUUUGUAUCCAAGAAUUUGUUAUAGCCUAUAUAAUUAAUUCUUUUCAUCCAUGGCGAUGAAAAAAACAAAUGUGAAUAAUAAACUCACAGUCAAUCCAAAUGUGAAUGUCAACAAAAAGAGUAUUUCUCGAUGGUAUAAAAAAAUGACUUUUAAUUAGUAUGAACAAAUGGUAUGCAUAGUUUAUUAAUCCUCUAAUCUCUAAUAACCUCAAACACAUGCAUGAAACUCAAAAUCAUGUCUAUAUUAUAUAUUAACACAUUGAUAGAUAGAUAUAUACUUAGAUGAAUUAACAAAUUACUAACUGUAGAGAUUCUGAAGAAAGAGGAAGUAGAAGUAGCAGAAGAAGAAAGAAAAAGAAGGAGGAGGAUGCAAAGAUAGAAAGAGCUUUGAAUUGAUUGGCAAUGGAGGAUUUGGCUUCAAUCUAUAUUAUAUUAUAUUAUUAUAUAUCAUUUAUGGCUUAGAUGGAAAACCAUUUAACAAAAACUUAGCCUUUUUAAAAGUUCCAAAAUAAUAAUUGUUAAUGCUAAAAAUAAUGUCAUAAUAGAAACAUUAAACAUCAAGAUAAUUACAUUAUAAUUGAAAAAAAAGUAAGACAUAAAUAAUCAAAUUGUUGACUUUUAGUGUAAAAAGUUAAGGAGAAGAUAUAUAUUUCUUUUGGUAAAGGAUCCAUAAGGAUUCACCUAAUUCAUAUACUAAAAGGAUUCAUUAUUAUUAAUGGAUGAUAUAUAUAUAUAUUGCACAAGUUGCACCAAACCAAAUAGAUUCAGUUUUGUUCGAUAUUUGAAUAAGUUUUACCAUAAAAUGAGACUAUCUUCAGCUUAAUUUUAUUUCUGAUUUAUUCAAAUUAAAUUUUUAAGAAACAAAACUAAGGAACGUGAGUAUGUCAAAAACUCCUAUUGUUUAUACCUCAUCUGAUCCAUUCACCCUGUAGUUAGUAUCUGUAGGUUUUGUUAUCGUUUGGGGUCAGUACCCUUUUGUGGUUAAAAUGUAAAAAUUAUAUAUUAAAUGAAUAUAGAGAGAAGUCGAGUACUAUAAGAACUACUGAUGAUAUCCAAAGUUUCUCUACGAAAUUUUAUUUUAUUAGUUUUCUUUAGGCUAUUUGUUAAAUUACUUUUGAAUUAUUUUCUUUGAAAGGUUGGUGGUAUUUCUACAACAACGUAACUCUCUUUUCUAUGUGUCUUAACUUAAUGCUAAAUACAUUUUUACUAUGAGAAGAUAUUAAACAUAUUGUACAAUCUUAUAUUAUAACAUUAUACAAACACACAAACUUUUAUGCCAUAGUAUCAUUCAAGUUCAGUACUCUUAGACUUAUAACAAAACCAAACCAUAGGUCUAAAUUAGUAGAUGACAGAGUUCAUUAUCGUCAUCUUCUUCAUAGACCCACCAAUUGUAAUAUAAUAAUGUAAAGAUUUUACAUGAUGAUCUUCUUCUUACGAUCAUCAGCAAGUUGUUUGAGUGGUUCCAUUUGAAUGAUUGAGUUUGGUAACUUUUGUGCAACCAUAAUAUGAAAGAAACCCAUAACUCCAAUGUGAGUUUGAGAAGGAUGAUAUUUGGAUAUCAGAGUUAACAUUUCUUUAUUGUUGAUUUUGACAGAGCCUGGCUUUGGAUAACAAGUUGACAUCUCAACCACAUACCCCUUUUCAUUCCCUAUUUCACUUCCAUUUUCCAUAUAUGGGAGAUGAAGAACAUAGAUCUCUUCCAUCCUAAUAAAUGCAUAAAUACAUAUUAUUCACAAAUUUAAUAAAACUUGGUUAAAUUAUAAGUUUGGUUUCUUUACUUCUAGACUUUUUUUUUUUUUUUUUUUUUUGCCUAUAAACUGAAUUUUCAAAAAGCAUCUAUAAUUAAACAAAUUUCUAUGACAACAGUGCAGUAAACCUUUCGUUUUUGGUUUUUGGUUUUUGAAAAUUAAGCUUAUUUUCUCUCCAAUAGUUAGUAUGUUUUUUAAAUACAUAUCUAAAAGUUAUUUCAGAAAUAUAAAAUUAAAAGUUCAACUAAGUAUAUUUUUUACCCAUCAAAGUUAAAAAAAUGUGUAAUUUUAAUUUUCUAAGAAAUGAAGAGAACAUUUUUUAAGAUAAAUGAGAAAAAAAUACCUGUCCAUAAAGCACUGAACCAAGACCACCAACAUGGAGAUGAGCCAUUCCAUAUAUGAUAUAGCCACUACUUGGAGACAAUAGCCUCACCAUUUUUGUAGCAUUACAUUCAUCACCAACCUUGUUUGUGGAGCAAGUCCCUCUUACAUUAUACUCCACCUGUACACAAACCAUCAAAUGAUAUACAUGUAUAUAUAUAGCAAAUUAUGGAAGUAGUUUGACUUACAAGACAAUUAUGUUGUUGUGGAGCUCCUGUUGAGUCCAUCAAUGGCUUCCAAGUAUCUGUGAUAUCAAAAAUGUAAACCUUAAGAGGAAUAACAAGAUCAUCAUCCCAAUCCACCCACUUGGCUGUAUAUCUAGCAUACAAGUUCCUUUGUUGAUCAUCUCCUAAUUCAUUAUCAUACCCUUUUUUCACUUUACAUUGGGUCUGAUCAUAACAACAUCUUAAACCUCCAACAUAAUCAUCUUCCAAAGCCAUUCCCAACCCAUCUUUUGUAACAUUAUACAAAUGACGUUUGCAUUCAAUACAUCCAAUUCUAUCUUCAACACCUCUUGUAUCAAUGGCAUGAAUAUUAAGAACCCAUUUCUCUUCAUACCCUAAAGGGACUUCCUUUUCAUUACCAACUUCUAUUCCAUAUGGGUGUGGAAGAAAUGAGGAUGUUUUUCUUGAAUCUGCCCCUGUCCCAAAGAAUUGUGGAAGUGCAUGUUUUUGACAUACUCCACUGUUUCCUGCUAUUAUGAAAUUUGGUUCUUGGAGUUGAGUGAAGGAAGUGUUGGUGUGUGGAUCUUUUGUGUCUUUGUGUUGGUAAUACCUGUUGUUGUUGCACAAAAAUAUGUUAUUUUAGAUCAGGAAAAAUAUAAAUGUUUCUCAAAUAAUCAAUUAAACAUGUAUAUACUCACUACUAAUAUCACUGCUAAUACAGUCAACCUAAACUCAUAUACUUCAUAACUAACUCCAUUUCAAACAAAUUAUUUAAUACUCCGCAUUGCAAGCAAACUUCCUGAAUUAGUGAGGUAAAAUACUCUUAAUUAGACACCAAAAACGUAUAGAUCAUUUGACUUGACUCAGAUUAUAAUAACAACAAAAACUAUUACGACUAACUUAUUCUCUGGAAAAUCUUAUUACAAUAAUGUUAUUCAUAAAAGAGAUGUGCCUGAUCAACAGUAAUGAGUUAUGUUAAGAAAUAUUCGAUUGCCUAGAAAAGAGAGAGAGAAAUGGUAUAGACAGUAAAUAAAACAAUAAGAGUAAUAAUAGUACCUUAGAAUUCCCCAAUGGUGAAGAUAAGUUUCAAAGAGAGGGAUGGGAUUGUCUUCUUCAUCUACGACUUCAACAUCAAAACUUUUGAUAGCAAUAUGGCCUUCGGGAAAGUUGGUAUUAUAGAAGAAUCUCUCCACUACAUGGCCAGGUUUUAAAGUGAAGAAUGGAGUCAUAUAAGUCUUUGUUUUUAUGACUUGAUGAUCGUUUUUCUUGUUUAUUACAACCCCUUCCAAAUAUGGUAUCAUAAUUCCUAUGGAGAAGAGUAAUAGGAACCACCAUAAACAUUGGUGAUGCUUCAACAUUUCUGCUUUGUUUGAUUCUGCAAAAAAAAAAGUUUGAACCGUAAUACGGUUUAAAUAACCAAAGAAAAAAGAGGGCAAAUGUUUAGUGACAGAUUUUGAAUUAGAUCAGUAUUUGGAAUCACUAUAUAAUAUAAAUGGAAUGAUGAUAUAAUGAUAAUUGGGGGUAGGGAAUAAAGGAAGUGGGUGGAAAAGAGAG